rnacentral:rRNA from 2 species
CAUGCAAGUCGAGCGGACCGACGGGAGCUUGCUCCCUUAGGUCAGCGGCGGACGGGUGAGUAACACGUGGGGUAACCUGCCUGUAAGACUGGGGAUAACUCCGGGGAAACCGGGGGCUAAUACCGGAUGCUUGAUUGAACCGCAUGGUUCAAUCAUAAAAGGUGGCUUUCAGCUACCACUUACAGAUGGACCCGCGGCGCAUUAGCUAGUUGGUGAGGUAACGGCUCACCAAGGCGACGAUGCGUAGCCGACCUGAGAGGGUGAUCGGCCACACUGGGACUGAGACACGGCCCAGACUCCUACGGGAGGCAGCAGUAGGGAAUCUUCCGCAAUGGACGAAAGUCUGACGGAGCAACGCCGCGUGAGUGAUGAAGGUUUUCGGAUCGUAAAACUCUGUUGUUAGGGAAGAACAAGUACCGUUCGAAUAGGGCGGUACCUUGACGGUACCUAACCAGAAAGCCACGGCUAACUACGUGCCAGCAGCCGCGGUAAUACGUAGGUGGCAAGCGUUGUCCGGAAUUAUUGGGCGUAAAGCGCGCGCAGGCGGUUUCUUAAGUCUGAUGUGAAAGCCCCCGGCUCAACCGGGGAGGGUCAUUGGAAACUGGGGAACUUGAGUGCAGAAGAGGAGAGUGGAAUUCCACGUGUAGCGGUGAAAUGCGUAGAGAUGUGGAGGAACACCAGUGGCGAAGGCGACUCUCUGGUCUGUAACUGACGCUGAGGCGCGAAAGCGUGGGGAGCGAACAGGAUUAGAUACCCUGGUAGUCCACGCCGUAAACGAUGAGUGCUAAGUGUUAGAGGGUUUCCGCCCUUUAGUGCUGCAGCAAACGCAUUAAGCACUCCGC